GACAGAGGGUGCAAACGUUGUUCGGAAUUACUGGGCGUAAAGCGCGUGUAGGCUGCUCUGCAGGUCGGAUGUGAAAGCCCUGGGCUCAACCUAGGAAGUGCAUUCGAACCGCGGAGCUUGAGUCUUGGAGAGGGUCGCGGAAUUCUCGGUGUAGAGGUGAAAUUCGUAGAUAUCGAGAGGAACACCGGUGGCGAAGGCGGCGACCUGGACAAUGACUGACGCUGAGACGCGAAAGCGUGGGGAGCAAACAGG
rnacentral:rRNA from 1 species